rnacentral:lncRNA from 1 species
ACCUUUAGUAUCUAAACAUCUAAUUGAAGAAGAAACUAAAAGUACUAAAAAUAAACAUGAUCUAAGAUAUUGCUAUUUUGGAGGAAUACAGAUUAUGUUAUAUGCACAUUUUAAAGAAGGUAUAGAUACACAGAAUAUAUCAGACGAAUAUUCAGAAAACCGAUAUUAUAUAAAAGGAAGAAUAAUAAGAAAUGGAAUAAGAAUACUAGUACCAAUCUUAAUUGCUACUAAUGCAGGAGAAAAUUAUAUAGCUGAACAACUAAU